ACCGGAUAUGACCUGCUCUCGCAUGGGGGUGGGUGGAAAGAUUUAUCGGUGCAGGAUGGGCCCGCGGCCUAUCAGCUUGUUGGUGGGGUAAUGGCCUACCAAGGCGACGACGGGUAGCCGACCUGAGAGGGUGACCGGCCACACUGGGACUGAGACACGGCCCAGACUCCUACGGGAGGCAGCAGUGGGGAAUAUUGCACAAUGGGCGAAAGCCUGAUGCAGCGACGCCGCGUGAGGGAUGAAGGCCUUCGGGUUGUAAACCUCUUUCAGCAGGGACGAAGCGCAAGUGACGGUACCUGCAGAAGAAGCACCGGCUAACUACGUGCCAGCAGCCGCGGUAAUACGUAGGGUGCGAGCGUUGUCCGGAAUUACUGGGCGU
rnacentral:rRNA from 1 species